rnacentral:rRNA from 1 species
AACGAACGCUGGCGGCAUGCUUAACACAUGCAAGUCGAACGGAUAGCUUGCUAUCAGUGGCGCACGGGUGAGUAACACGUGGGAACCUACCUUUAGUUUGGGAUAACUUUGGGAAACUAAGGCUAAUACCGGAUACGCUUUGCAGCUUGGCGCUGUAAAGGAAAGAUUUAUCGCUAAAAAGAUGGGCCCGCGGUGGAUUAGCUUGUUGGUGGGGUAAAGGCUUACCAAGGCAACGAUCCAUAGCUGGUCUGAGAGGAUGAUCAGCCACACUGGGACUGAGAUACGGCCCAGACUCCUACGGGAGGCAGCAGUGGGGAAUAUUGGACAAUGGGCGAAAGCCUGAUCCAGCAAUGCCGCGUGAGUGAAGAAGGUCUUCGGAUUGUAAAGCUCUUUCACGGGUGAAGAUAAUGACGGUAACCCGAGAAGAAGCCCCGGCUAACUUCGUGCCAGCAGCCGCGGUAAAGUCUGUACU